GCGCUAGUAGCUCAGCUGGAUAGAGUACCUGGCUACGAACCAGGCGGUCAGAGGUUCGAAUCCUCUCUGGCGCACCA
rnacentral:tRNA from 6 species